rnacentral:rRNA from 1 species
CCUACGGGUGGCAGCAGUGGGGAAUAUUGGACAAUGGGGGGAACCCUGAUCCAGCGACGCCGCGUGAGUGAAGAAGUAUUUCGGUAUGUAAAGCUCUAUCAGCAGGGAAGAAAGAAAUGACGGUACCUGACUAAGAAGCCCCGGCUAACUACGUCCCAGCAGCCCCGGUAAGACGUAGGGGGCAAGCGUUAUCCGGAUUUACUGGGUGUAAAGGGAGCGUAGACGGCGAUGCAAGUCUGAAGUGAAAGGCGGGGGCACAACCCCUGGACUGCUUUGGAAACUGUAUGGCUGGAGUGCAGGAGAGGUAAGUGGAAUUCCUAGUGUAGCGGUGAAAUGCGUAGAUAUUAGGAGGAACACCAGUGGCGAAGGCGGCUUACUGGACUGUAACUGACGUUGAGGCUCGAAAGCUUGGGGAGCAAACAGGAUUAGAUACCCUUGUAGUC